AUGGGUUGGGUCGAUCUCUGGGACAGCAUGAUCCUCUGCGACGUGCAUGUCCCUGCUCCUUCCGGGGAGGAGGAACCCCCCGGCCCCAGGCUGCUCCGCUACGUACCGCUGCCGGAGCCAAUGCAGCCGGACAACGGCCUCCCUCUCUAUGGCAUGUCUUCCACUUCGUCCUUCUUCCGGGACAUCGCUGUUGUCAAUGGCCGGAUCAAGUUCGUCGACCUUCAGCUCCAUGCCUGCCCGGGCUCGCGCACCCCGAAUGGUUGGACGGCCGUCACAUGGAGCAUGGCGCCUGCUGAUUCGGGUUUCACCAAGGACGGGGAGCUGAAUUCCCGUGAUAUGGUCAACCCCAUGGAGCCUUCCCUGUUUGUUGGUCACCCCACGCUCAGCUCCUGUAAUGACAAUGUUCUCUACCUGAUGGCCAAGACCAGCCUAUAUGACAGUAUGUCACAGGUGAUUACUGUUAACAUGAAGGAGAAGACGGUGGGGCGAACCGCAAAAUACACCACACAACGAGACGCCAGCAUGGCCUUCGCGUACACGCGCACUACCAUCUCUAACUUUCGCGCCCGAGAUUCAAAGGGCAGCAAAAAGCGACCAGGGUCGGUGUUGCACGAAUCCUUUCGGAAGAAGCUGCCUGCGAUCAAUCCCAGCGAAGAUCUGCCUACGAUGGGUGAUGAAGGGGAUCCUAUCCAGUUGGAAUAG
rnacentral:rRNA from 1 species